rnacentral:tRNA from 1 species
GAGGGUAUAGCUCAGUGGCAGAGCAUGUGCUUAGCGUGCACGAGGUCCUAGGUUCAAUCCCCAGUACCUCCA